GAGACACGUGAGAACAAACCCCGUCACCGUGAGGCCACCACCCCGGUGCCCGCUGCCGACACACACUCCACCUGGGCUCCGGGACCCAUGGAGCAGCAGACCCUCCCCUGGGCAAGGGGCACAGAGAAGCCCCAUCCAGCUGGGUGCAGUGGCACACACCUAUAAUCACAGCGACUCUGGAGGCUGAGCCAAAAGGAUCCCAAGUUCAAAGCCAGCCUCUGCAGUGGUGAGGCCCUAAGCAACUCAGCAAGACUCUGUCUCUAAAUACAAUGCAAAAUAGGGCUGCCAGGGUGGAAGAACACCCCAGGGGGCAACACAGAGUACCACCCCCCCAAAAAAAAAAGCACACUAAACAAAAAGGCAAGCACUGGCCUUCUGGCUGGAAAGUGGAGAUUACCAGGUGGGCAGAACAGAACCCCAAACCGAGAAUUCUAAACAGUAUGAAUAUAAUGAACACAGACAGACAGGCCACAGGAAAAAAGGACCAAAGUGUCUGGGUGCCACCAGGACAAGCUCCCCCAGCCCAGACCCAGCCACCUCUGUCCCCAGAAAUCAGCCAGUUCCAAGGGCUGCUGUGGCCUGAGGGCGGGGCUUGGCCAGAGACCCUCCACCACACACCCCCACCCCACGCCCAC
rnacentral:lncRNA from 1 species